AACUAGUAACGCAAUUGGAUCCCAAAAGAUAAAGUAGUGUUUCAUUGUUAGAAGAUUCAAAACCAAAAACAUCAUACGGACUUUGGCUACACCAUCAAAGCUUUGAGAAGCAAGGGAAAAGUUGGUUAGAGUUUUGGAGUCAAAUAUAAGUAGAUCUUGGGAAAAUGAUUAAAUAUAAGAACUAGAACCGCAAUUGGAAUC
rnacentral:sRNA from 1 species